UUCACUGAGCUCCUGAGAGUAGCCCAUUCUCUCAGAAAUAUUUGUGAAAAAAAAUCUGCAGGCAUACAUGUAGGUGCUACCUCUAGGGGUACGCGAGCACACUGCAGGGGGUACUUGGAAACAUGUCAUUAUUAUAAGAAAUGUAUGGAGCAGUCAUAUCAGGACAGAGAAAGCGAUAUAGUAUAAUUAGGGUUAGUCAUGGCACAACUAAGAUGCUUAGGGGGUACGCAAGACAAAAAAGGUUGGGAAACAAUUAGAGAUGCACCGGCUCCUGAUUUUUAGGAUCCUGCCGGAUACCGGAUCCACUGCUUAAGAUCCUGCCGGAUCCGGAACCGGAUAC